rnacentral:pre_miRNA from 1 species
AAUGGGAUUAUUGGGUGAUGAUAAAUAUAUGUUCAACUUUAGAAGAAACUGCCAAGUUUUUCCAAAGUGAUUGGAGCACUUUACAUCCCCACUAUUAAU